rnacentral:rRNA from 1 species
GUUUGAUCCUGGCUCAGGAUGAACGCUAGCUACAGGCUUAACACAUGCAAGUCGAGGGGCAGCAUGGUCUUAGCUUGCUAAGGCUGAUGGCGACCGGCGCACGGGUGAGUAACACGUAUCCAACCUGCCGUCUACUCUUGGACAGCCUUCUGAAAGGAAGAUUAAUACAAGAUGGCAUCAUGAGUCCGCAUGUUCACAUGAUUAAAGGUAUUCCGGUAGACGAUGGGGAUGCGUUCCAUUAGAUAGUAGGCGGGGUAACGGCCCACCUAGUCUUCGAUGGAUAGGGGUUCUGAGAGGAAGGUCCCCCACAUUGGAACUGAGACACGGUCCAAACUCCUACGGGAGGCAGCAGUGAGGAAUAUUGGUCAAUGGGCGAGAGCCUGAACCAGCCAAGUAGCGUGAAGGAUGACUGCCCUAUGGGUUGUAAACUUCUUUUAUAAAGGAAUAAAGUCGGGUAUGCAUACCCGUUUGCAUGUACUUUAUGAAUAAGGAUCGGCUAACUCCGUGCCAGCAGCCGCGGUAAUACGGAGGAUCCGAGCGUUAUCCGGAUUUAUUGGGUUUAAAGGGAGCGUAGAUGGAUGUUUAAGUCAGUUGUGAAAGUUUGCGGCUCAACCGUAAAAUUGCAGUUGAUACUGGAUAUCU